CGAAACAGUGAUGUGGAGUAAAACUUAAAAAGCGGUCCCAGUUCGAAUUGAAGGCUGAAAUUCGCCUUCAUGAAGUCGGAAUUGCUAGUAAUGGCAGGUCAGCAUACUGCCGUGAAUACGUUCCCGGGCCUUGUACACACCGCCCGUCACACCAUGAGAGUUGGAGAUACCCGAAGCCUGUGAGCUAACAGAAAUGGAGCAGCAGUCGAAGGUAGAAUCAAUGAUUGGGGUGAAGUCGUAACAAGGUAUC
rnacentral:rRNA from 1 species